GAUGAAGAACGUAGCAAAAUGCGAUAAGUAAUGUGAAUUGCAGAAUUCAGUGAAUCAUCGAAUCUUUGAACGCACAUUGCGCCCGCCAGUAUUCUGGCGGGCAUGCCUGUUCGAGCGUCAUUUCAACCCUCAAGCACAGCUUGGUGUUGGGACUCGCGUCAAUUCGCGUUCCCCAAAUUGAUUGGCGGUCACGUCGAGCUUCCAUAGCGUAGUAGUAAAACCCUCGUUACUGGUAAUCGUCGCGGCCACGCCGUUAAACCCCAACUUCUGAAUGUUGACCUCGGAUCAGGUAGGAAUACCCGCUGAACUUAAGCAUAUCAAUAAGCGGAGGA
rnacentral:misc_RNA from 1 species